rnacentral:rRNA from 1 species
GACGCUGCGGCAGGCCUUAUACCUGCAAGUUCGAGGGGCAGCAUUUACUUCGGUAAAUGGCGACCGGCGCACGGGUGAGUAACGCGUAUGCAACCUACCUUUAACUGGGGCAUAGCUCGAGGAAACUCGAAUUAAUUCCCCAUAGUACAUUAUAAUAUCUCAUGAUAUAAAUGUUAAAGAUUUAUCGGUUAAAGAUGGGCAUGCGUCUGAUUAGUUUGUUGGUAAGGUAACGGCUUACCAAGAACUACGAUCAGUAGGGGGUCUGAGAGGAUGAUCCCCCACACUGGUACUGAGACACGGACCAGACAUCUACGGAUGGCAGCAGUAAGGAAUAUUGGGCAAUGGGCGCAAGCCUGACCCAGCCAUGCCGCGUGCAGGAUGACGACCCUAUGGGUUGUAAACUGCUUUUAUAUAGGAAGAAAAUACUCUUGCGAGAGAAACUGACGGUACUAUAUGAAUAAGGACCGGCUAACUCCGUGCCAGCAGCCGCGGUAAUACGGAGGGUUCAAGCGUUUUCCGGAUUUAUUGGGUUUAAAGAGUGCGUAGUGGUUUAUUAA